rnacentral:rRNA from 1 species
GGAAAGUUUUUCGGUUGGGGAUGGGCUCGCGGCCUAUCAGCUUGUUGGUGGGGUAAAGGCCUACCAAGGCGACGACGGGUAGCCGGCCUGAGAGGGCGACCGGCCACACUGGGACUGAGACACGGCCCAGACUCCUACGGGAGGCAGCAGUGGGGAAUAUUGCACAAUGGGGGAAACCCUGAUGCAGCGACGCCGCGUGAGGGAUGACGGCCUUCGGGUUGUAAACCUCUUUCAGUAGGGAAGAAGCCUUUCGGGGUGACGGUACCUGCAGAAGAAGUACCGGCUAACUACGUGCCAGCAGCCGCGGUAAUACGUAGGGUACAAGCGUUGUCCGGAAUUAUUGGGCGUAAAGAGCUCGUAAGCGGUCCGUCGCGUCUGCUGUGGAAACGCAAGGCUCAACCUUGCGCGUGCAGUGGGUACGGGCGGACUAGAGUGCAGUAGGGGAGUCUGGAAUUCCUGGUGUAGCGGUGAAAUGCGCAGAUAUCAGGAGGAACACCGGUGGCGAAGGCGGGACUCCGGGCUGUUACUGACGCUGAGGAGCGAAAGCAUGGGGAGCGAACAGGAUUAGAUACCCUGGUAGUCCAUGCCGUAAACGUUGGGCACUAGGUGUGGGGCUCAUUCCACGAGUUCCGCGCCGCAGCUAACGCAUUAAGUGCCCCGCCUGGGGAGUACGGCCGCAAGGCUAAAACUCAAAGGAAUUGACGGGGGCCCGCACAAGCGGCGGAGCAUGCGGAUUAAUUCGAUGCAACGCGAAGAACCUUACCAAGGCUUGACAUACACCGGAAUGUGCCAGAGAUGGUUCAGCCCUUUGGGCUGGUGUACAGGUGGUGCAUGGUUGUCGUCAGCUCGUGUCGUGAGAUGUUGGGUUAAGUCCCGCAACGAGCGCAACCCUCGUUCUAUGUUGCCAGCACGUGAUGGUGGGAACUCAUAGGAGACUGCCGGGGUCAACUCGGAGGAAGGUGGGGAUGACGUCAAAUCAUCAUGCCCUUUAUGUCUUGGGCUUCACGCAUGCUACAAUGGUCGGUACAAAGGGUUGCGAGACCGUGAGGUGGAGCGAAUCCCAGAAAGCCGAUCUCAGUUCGGAUCGUAGUCUGCAACUCGACUACGGAAGUCGGAGUCGCUAGUAAUCGCAGAUCUGCAAC